rnacentral:lncRNA from 1 species
GGAAAUAUCAGAAAGGGAGACAGAACAUAAAGACUCCUAACUCUGGGAAACGAACUAGGGGUGGUGGAAGGGGAGGAGGGUGGGGGGUGGGGGGGAAUGGGUGACUGAGGGGGGCACUUGACGGGAUGAGCACUGGGUGUUAUUCUGUAUGUUGGCAAAUUGAACACCAAUAAAAAAUAAAUUUAUCAUUAAAAAAAAAUCAGCCUUCUUUGGUUUUCUUUCCAGGAGGAGGAGUUUGGAAUGUUCCACCACUUUACCUUAGGGAAUGGGGGGAGCUCUAGUGCAGCACUUGGAAUUACCUGCCACCUGUCGUUGUAUUGGAAGAAGCAGAGCUCAGAGAAACUGCCACGUGAUCUUCCUGAGAAGGUUUGCCUCUGUAAAGCUUAGUAAGACCGAAGCUGAUGGGCAGGUGUGCAGGUGGGCAUGCAAGGGUCAGUGUGACUUGAGAAAGUGAGCUCUGGAGAAACCACAACCAUCGUGUAUGUCAACAAAACACGGAAGUUUCAACAUUUGGUAAUUUUUUUCUUUUCUAAUGAGGACAAGUUAAUUUCAUCCCCACUAUAAGGAUGUCAUGGUGUGGUCUCAGCAGAACAGAGAAGGGAGAGAACCCAAUCUCUAUGAAAGGCUCCUGCAGCCACAGGGAGACAAAAACAUCGGGGCAGUGAGAUUCUGUAAAAAAUAUUCAAAUACAAAAAUAGAUUAAAGUUCAUUUUGCCCAGUUCAUUGUAGCCAUUGAUGAGAAGUUGAAGCAGGCCUGGUGGUGUAGGAGGGAAGCGAUGGCCUGUUGUGUCCAGACAGAAAUACAGAGAUGGAAAGAGAAAGGGGACAUGCUGCCAAGAGAAGCAGCUCUCUCUGUACACACACACUCAACAUCCACACGCACACAUAUGUCCACAUGUACACACAUCUACAUAUACACACACAUUCCACUUAUACCUAAAACUCAUAUUUUAU